rnacentral:rRNA from 1 species
AGUGAACGCUGGCGGUAGGCCUAACACAUGCAAGUCGAACGGCAGCACAGUAAGAGCUUGCUCUUACGGGUGGCGAGUGGCGGACGAGUGAGGAAUACAUCGGAAUCUACUUUUUCGUGGGGGAUAACGUAGGGAAACUUACGCUAAUACCGCAUACGACCUACGGGUGAAAGCAGGGGAUCUUCGGACCUUGCGCGAUUGAAUGAGCCGAUGUCGGAUUAGCUAGUUGGCGGGGUAAAGGCCCACCAAGGCGACGAUCCGUAGCUGGUCUGAGAGGAUGAUCAGCGACACUGGAACUGAGACACGGUCCAGACUCCUACGGGAGGCAGCAGUGGGGAAUAUUGGACAAUGGGCGCAAGCCUGAUCCAGCCAUACCGCGUGGGUGAAGAAGGCCUUCGGGUUGUAAAGCCCUUUUGUUGGGAAAGAAAAGCAGCAGGUUAAUACCCCGCUGUUCUGACGGUACCCAAAGAAUAAGCACCGGCUAACUUCGUG